AACGCAUAUUGCGCUCGAGACCUCGGUCAAGAGCAUGUCUGGCUCAGCGUCGGCUCACCCCCUCGCCACCCUCUCCCCUGUGGAGAGAGAAGGCGGAUCUGGCCGUCUCUGUGCUCCUCGAGAGAACGGGGUCGGCUGAAGAACAGAGGCUUGAGCAUGGUCCCGCUGAUAGGGCGCCAGCUUGGUAGGUAGCUCAUGCUGCAUGCCGCUGACACCCCUAGGGACCUGUGCUGUAAAGCCGGCAGGAAUCGGGGCGCAAGCUCCGAACUCUUAACUUCGACCUGAGCUCAGGCAAGACUACCCGCUGAACUUAA
rnacentral:rRNA from 1 species